UGGGGAAUAUUGCGCAAUGGGCGAAAGCCUGACGCAGCGACGCCGCGUGGGGGAUGACGGCCUUCGGGUUGUAAACCUCUUUCAGCAGGGACGAAGCGGAAGUGACGGUACCUGCAGAAGAAGCACCGGCCAACUACGUGCCAGCAGCCGCGGUAAUACGUAGGGUGCAAGCGUUGUCCGGAAUUAUUGGGCGUAAAGAGCUCGUAGGCGGUCUGUCGCGUCGGCUGUGAAAUCCCGAGGCUCAACCUCGGGUCUGCAGUCGAUACGGGCAAACUGGAGUGUUGCAGGGGGGACUGGAAUUCCUGGUGUAGCGGUGAAAUGCGCAGAUAUCAGGAGGAACACCGGUGGCGAAGGCGGGUCUCUGGGCAACAACUGACGCUGAGGAGCGAAAGCGUGGGGAGCGAACAGG
rnacentral:rRNA from 1 species